rnacentral:rRNA from 1 species
AGAGUUUGAUCCUGGCUCAGGACGAACGCUGACGGUGUGCUUUAGACAUGCAAGUCGAACGAGAAAGCCCUUCGGGGUGAGUACAGUGGCGAACGGGUGAGUAACACGUGGGCAAUCUGCCCCUCGCAGGGGGACAACCGGGGGAAACCCCGGCUAAUACCCCGUACGCUUACGGAGCCGCAUGGCCCCGUAAGGAGAGGUAGCUUCGGCCAUCCGGCGAGGGAUGAGCCCGCGGUACAUUAGCUAGUUGGUGAGGUAACGGCUCACCAAGGCGACGAUGUAUAGCUGGUCUGAGAGGAUGAUCAGCCACACUGGGACUGAGACACGGCCCAGACUCCUACGGGAGGCAGCAGUCGGGAAUCUUGCGCAAUGGGCGAAAGCCUGACGCAGCAACACCGUGUGAGCGACGAAGGCCUUCGGGUCGUAAAGCUCUGUUGUUGGGGACGAAGGGUUAGGGGUUAAUAGCCCCGAGCCUGACGGUACCCUUCGAGGAAGCCCCGGCUAACUACGUGCCAGCAGCCGCGGUAAUACGUAGGGGGCGAGCGUUGUCCGGAAUUAUUGGGCGUAAAGAGCGUGUAGGCGGUUCGGUAAGUCUGCCGUGAAAACCCAGGGCUCAACCCUGGGCGUGCGGUGGAUACUGCCGGGCUAGAGGGUGGUAGAGGCGAGUGGAAUUCCCGGUGUAGCGGUGAAAUGCGCAGAUAUCGGGAGGAACACCAGUAGCGAAGGCGGCUCGCUGGGCCACACCUGACGCUGAGACGCGAAAGCGUGGGGAGCAAACAGGAUUAGAUACCCCAGUAGUCC